CCCCUUUCAGGACCGUACCUGGAGACUUUCCAGUACUCUACCAGUCUCAGCUGUGAGAGGGAGAGUCAAGCAGAGGCAUACCCCUUCCAUUCCUAGCUUGGGCAGUGGCUAGCGAGUGGAAGGCAACCUGCUUCAAGU